rnacentral:rRNA from 1 species
GAUGAACGCUGGCGGCGUGCCUAAUACAUGCAAGUCGAGCGGACGGACGAUGAUCUUGCGUCUCGCAUGUUAGCGGCGGACGUGUGAGUAACACGUGUAUACCCUACCUAUAAUACUGGGAUAACUUCGGGAAACCGUAGCUAAUACCGUAUAAUAUUUUGAACCGCAUGGUUCAAAGGUGAAAGACGGUCUUGCUGUCACUUCUAGAUGCAUCCGGGCUGCAUGGGCUAGUUGGGAGGGUAAAGGCUUACCAAGGCAACGAUGCAUAGACGACGGGAGAGGGUGAUAGGCGACAUUGGAACGGAGACAGGGUCCAGACGACUACGGGAGGCAGCAGUAUGGAAUCGUACGCAAUGGGCGAAAGCAUGACGGAGUAACGGCGCGUGAGUGAUGAAGGCGUUCGGAUCGUAAAACUCUGUUACGAGGGAAGAACAUCUGUGUAAGUAGCUGUGCACAUCGUGACGGUACCUAAUCAGAAAGCAACGGCUAACUACGUG